CCACCCCUGCCCCACCCACCCGGAUCCGCACACUCUCACUCAUCCCGAUGCACCCGCCGUCGCCCACAUGGACCGGAACCAGGCAGCGUCACGUGACACGGGUUCCCCGGAGUGAGAGAGAGCCUCUCACAGCGCAUCAUGGCUGCGGAGGAUGCAGCCGCUCGGUACCGGCCCGGCGCGUUUCGCAUCGGCGCUGCGCCCCCCGCGCGCCGCCUGCUGCUGCUCUGCGUCUGCGCCUGCUGGCUGCUUCCCGCCCCGGCACUCUGCCUGCUCGGCUUUCGGCCGGAGGAGACCGGGGCGGAGCUGUCCGUGGAGGACGGGGUGCUGAAAGCCACCGAGGGGAGCCGCUUCAUGCUGCGGGUGUACUACUCCACCUCCCCGCAGAGGCUCAACCGCAGCGCGGGGUCCCGCGCCAACAACGCCGCGCCCUGGAUCGCCUUCAUCGAGGAGCCGAGUCCCGGGAGGGAGGGACAGGUCCACCCCAAGCGGAACAUGUGCACGGACAAGAACGCCAGGACGUCCGACAUCGAGGUUCUGGGUUCCUUCAAGUCCUCUUCCAGCCAGAACUCGGUUCUGGUCGAGCUGAUGGCCAAAGAGCUGCGGAGGGGGGAGAAGGUCAAGUUCUACUCCAUGUGCGCCUUCGACGGAUCCAAGUGGGAACACUACCGGACCCGGGACUUCUGGGUGGCGGUAUCGGAGCGCUCCGCCGUCCCGGAGCUCUGGCUGCAGGUUGUGGUCUCGGUUCUUCUGCUCGGACUGUCGGCUCUGUUCAGCGGGCUCAACCUAAGCCUCCUGGCUCUGGACCCGGUGGAGCUGCAGGUCCUCCAGAACAGCGGCACCGACACGGAGCAGAACCAUGCGCGCAAGAUCGAGUCCGUGCGUCGGCACGGGAACUACGUCCUGUGCACGCUGCUGCUGGGCACCGCCAUCAUCAACGCCUCGCUGGCCGUGUGGAUGUGUCAGAUCCUCGGCAUGACGUGGAUCUCCACGCUCAUCUGCGCCUCCGGCAUCUUCUUCAUCGGUGAGAUCCUUCCGCACUCCGUGGCCUCGCGCCACGGUUUGGCCAUCGCGUCCAAAACCAUCUGGGUGACGCGGCUGCUGAUGGUGCUCUCCUUCCCCAUCUCCUACCCCAUCAGCAAACUUCUGGACCUCAUCCUCAACCAGGAGAUCUCCAACUUUUACACCAGAGAGAAGCUCCUGGAGAUGCUGCGCGUCUCGGACCCGUACCACGACCUGGUCAAGGAGGAGCUGAACAUCAUCCAGGGCGCGCUGGAGCUGCGCACCAAGACCGUGGAGGACGUCCUGACGCCCCUCACGGACUGCUUCAUGCUGGCCUCGGACGAGGUCCUGGACUUCAAUACCAUGUCCGACAUCAUGCAGAGCGGCUACACGCGCAUCCCAGUCUACGAGAACGAGCGCUCCAACAUCGUGGACAUCCUGUUCGUCAAGGACCUGGCCUUCGUGGACCCGGACGACUGCACGCCGCUCAAGACCAUCACGCAGUUCUACAGGCACCCGCUGCACUGCGUGUUCAACGACACCAAGCUGGACGCCAUGCUGGAGGAGUUCAAGAAAGGUAAAUCCCACCUGGCCAUCGUGCAGCGGGUGAACAACGAGGGGGAGGGCGACCCGUUCUACGAGGUGUUGGGCAUCAUCACUCUGGAGGACGUUAUCGAGGAGAUCAUCAAAUCUGAGAUCCUGGAUGAGACGGACCUUUACACUGAUAAUCGAACAAAACGGCGAGUUUCUCACCACGAGCGGAAGCAGCAAGACUUUUCCAUCUUCAAACUGUCAGAAAAUGAGAUGAAGGUGAAGAUUUCUCCUCAGCUCCUCCUGGCGACGCACCGGUUCCUCUCCACAGAGGUGGAGCCCUUCAAACCCGCCCACAUCUCUGAGAAGAUCCUGCUGCGGCUAAUCAAACACCCCAGUGUGGUCCAGGAGCUGAAGUUUGACGAGAAGAACAAACGAGCGCCGCAGCACUUUUUGUUCCAACGCAACAAACCGGUGGACUACUUCACCCUGGUACUGCAGGGUCGGGUGGAGGUGGAGUUUGGAAAGGAGGCGUUGAAGUUUGAGAAUGGAGCUUUCUCUUACUUUGGAGUUCCUGUUCUCAUGCCUUCAGUGAACUGGUCCCCCUCCCGCAGCAGUGGUCUGGACCGCUCUGAGUCCAUGCUGCAUGGAGGAAGUAUGGGUCAGCUGAACGGGGGGGUCAACGUCUACCUGCCAGACUACUCCGUCAGACAGCUGACACACCUGCAGAUCAUCAAGAUCACCCGAAGCCACUACCAGAACGCCCUGACAGCCACCAGGAUGGACACCUCUCCACAAACGCCCGAUGCAGACGCCCGCCUGGCCGAAGACGGCGCCCUGGAGCCUCCGGCCACAGACCGCGCCGCCACGCUCAUGCCCCCCGGGCACGCCACCCUCAUGCCCCCGCCUAGGGACCACUGCAGGCCCAGCUCAGCACGGACCAGAGGACAGCAGUCUAGCGUCCCACACAGCAUGUCCUUCCUUAACGAGAAGAACCGCAUUGUCCGAAGUAAAUCUGACGGACAGAAGAGUCUGAGUGAUUCAGUGUUUCUCAGGAUGGAUGAGAUCCCCUACAUCCGAGAGGACAGAUGUGAGGCUGACCCACAUGCAGACAUGGCCUCUGUUCCCAUGGAGACGGACACGUCGCCUUUCAUCAGCAGCCUGUCGCUGAGUAGCUCAGAGGACACACUGGGCAAGAAACUGCUGCUCAAACUCAUUCCUCACAGCGUCCACAGCAGAUCUCUGGGUUUGAUUCCUGAACAUUUUAUCAAAAUCUUCAGCUUUUAAAAACACAACAAGCUUCACAGUCGUGUGAGAAACAGAAACCGUCUUCUGUCUUCUCCUAACUGAACAUCACAUCCACAUUUACCAGCAGUCAUAAGAAGAGGAAAAAAUCCCACGAUGGGGAAAAGACUCCAGAGGACAUUUCAGAGCAGCCGCUGGUGAAAACCUAGCAGAGCGUGAGCGGCUGACCUCAUCGUCUGAUGGCUCUUUAAGCCUUUUGUAAAGAGGAUGCUGCUGAACGGCAGCUAUCAGAGUUUUAUCUGAAAACAUGCUCUGCACGCCUGCACUGUUCAGACUCUUUACCAGGAUUAAGCUGCACAUGUGGGGGGAGGACAGGUGCAUUAGAGCGCAGCUUCCCGUCUUUACUCUCCUGGAUUUGUUUCUGCUGAUGCUCACAUAUAAAGGGAAUGACUGUAAAUGUGAAAUGUUUGCAUCUGAAAUCGUAGUUUUUCUACUUAAUUCACGUGUCGUCACUGAAGGGGUUGUUUCCAGGGAAGACCAAAGAUGUUUUGUUUAUUCGUCCCCAAAAA